rnacentral:rRNA from 1 species
AGGCAGCAGUGGGGAAUAUUGCACAAUGGGCGAAAGCCUGAUGCAGCGACGCCGCGUGAGGGAUGACGGCCUUCGGGUUGUAAACCUCUUUCAUCAGGGAAGAAGCGAAAGUGACGGUACCUGCAGAAGAAGCGCCGGCUAACUACGUGCCAGCAGCCGCGGUAAUACGUAGGGCGCAAGCGUUGUCCGGAAUUAUUGGGCGUAAAGAGCUCGUAGGCGGCUUGUCACGUCGAUUGUGAAAGCCCGGGGCUUAACCCCGGGUCUGCACUCAAUACGGGCAGGCUAGAGUUCGGUAGGGGAGAUCGGAAUUCCUGGUGUAGCGGUGAAAUGCGCAAAUAUCACGAAGAACUCCGAUGACAAAAGCGGAUUUCUGGCCCGAUACAGACUGUGACGAGAAAACUCGUGGGGAGCAAACAAGAAUAGACACCCUGAUACUCCCCACCCUACACGGUGGAUACUAUGUGUAAGCGACCUUCCCCGUUAUCCCUCGCCGCUACUAACGCAAUAAGUGCCCCCCCUGACUUACAAUGCCCGCAAUGAUAAAUCUCAGGUGAUGUGAAAG